rnacentral:piRNA from 1 species
UCCUACCACAUCUGCAUAGAUGACCCC